rnacentral:rRNA from 1 species
UGGGGAAUUUUGGACAAUGGGCGAAAGCCUGAUCCAGCAAUGCCGCGUGUGUGAAGAAGGCCUUCGGGUUGUAAAGCACUUUUGUCCGGAAAGAAAUCCUUGGCUCUAAUACAGUCGGGGGAUGACGGUACCGGAAGAAUAAGCACCGGCUAACUACGUGCCAGCAGCCGCGGUAAUACGUAGGGUGCAAGCGUUAAUCGGAAUUACUGGGCGUAAAGCGUGCGCAGGCGGUUUGCUAAGACCGAUGUGAAAUCCCCGGGCUCAACCUGGGAACUGCAUUGGUGACUGGCAGGCUAGAGUAUGGCAGAGGGGGGUAGAAUUCCACGUGUAGCAGUGAAAUGCGUAGAGAUGUGGAGGAAUACCGAUGGCGAAGGCAGCCCCCUGGGCCAAUACUGACGCUCAUGCACGAAAGCGUGGGGAGCAAAACAGGAUUAGAUACCCUGGUAGUCCACGCCCUAAAACGAUGUCAACUAGUUGUUGGGGAUUCAUUUCCUUAGUAACGUAGCUAACGCGUGAAGUUGACCGCCUGGGGAGUACGGUCGCAAGAUUAAAACUUAAAGGAAUUGACGGGGUCAUAGCUGUUU